rnacentral:rRNA from 1 species
GUCUACAGCUGUACCACCCUGAGUGCAUCCAAUCUCAUCUGAUCUCGGAAGCUAAGCAGGAUCAGGCCCGAUUAGUCGGAUGAGAGUCCAGUAAAAAUUUAUGGUUUGUGAUGUCC